ACGGUCAAUCACGCUGAAAACACCGGUUCUCGUUCGAUCACCGAAGUUAAUCAUCGUAGAGCCAGGUCAGUACUUAGAUAGGGAACCGC